rnacentral:rRNA from 1 species
GAUGAACGCUGGCGGCGUGCCUAAUACAUGCCAGUCGAGCGAACAGACGAGGAGCUUGCUCCUCUGACGUUAGCGGCGGACGGGUGAGUAACACGUGGAUAACCUACCUAUAAGACUGGGAUAACUUCGGGAAACCGGAGCUAAUACCGGAUAAUAUAUUGAACCGCAUGGUUCAAUAGUGAAAGACGGUUUUGCUGUCACUUAUAGAUGGAUCCGCGCCGCAUUAGCUAGUUGGUAAGGUAACGGCUUACCAAGGCAACGAUGCGUAGCCGACCUGAGAGAGUGAUAGGCCACCCUGGAAGUGAGCCGGGGUCCAGGGUCCUACGGGAGGCAGCAGUAGGGAAUCUUCCGCAAUGGGCGAGAGCAUGACGGAGCAAGGCCGCGUGAGUGAUGAAGGUCUUCGGAUCGUAAAACUCUGUUAUUGGGGAAGAACAAAUGUGUAAGUAACUAUGCACGUCUUGACGGUACCUAAUAAGAAAGCACCGGCUAACUACGUG